CAAGCAGUUGACCCGGGUUCGAUUCCCGGCCAACGCAGCUGGCCAACGUUUUGCGCGGCUCCAGGGCCCCGGUGCUCAGGCCCGAUGGGAGCCGGGAGCCGGGCGCGACGCUGAGUGCGUGCGUGUGUGUGUGUGUGUGUGUGUGUGAGAGAGAGAGAGAGAGAGAGAGGAGGAGGAGGAGGCGCGCAGCGUUUUGACGGCGCGGCGGGCGGGCGGUCCGGCCAGGUGGCUCGGCGGGGCCGGCGGGCGGCUGCGCGUGGCCCGGCGGGGGCCCUGGAGGCCAAGCAGAGGCGAGUGGGCGGUAGGGAGGGAGGCGCCGGGUCCAGGGCGCACGGGCCAGGCGCGCAGCCUGACGCUCCCUGGUGGUCUAGUGGUUAGGAUUCGGCGCUCUCACCGCCGCGGCCCGGGUUCGAUUCCCGGUCAGGGAAGCCUUUCUUCUUCCUCUCGCAAGACCGCCGCCGCACACCCCUUUUAGCCGAAGCUCGCUCGUGCGUCUCCCUGGCCCCGAGCUGACCGAGGCUGCGCGUGCGCACGAGGCCACCCGCCCCGUCGAGCCCAAGGCUGGCUUGCCUGGCGGGCUCCGUCGGGCCGGCCCAAGCCUUUUGGCCUCGCUGGCUGGCUGGCCGGCAGGUGGGCCGACUGGAGGUCUCGGCGUCUCGCGGCCGCCUCCCCCGGACGCUCGCCUGGCUCCCCGUCUCGCUCCGCCCCAGGCCCGACAGUCCGGGACGCCGUCCGACCCCAGCCGAGGCCACCGACAGGCCGGGCGCCUCGGGCCUCCGUGGGUGCUUGGACUCUCCCGCAGCACCCCUGCCGCCGGGAGAAAGGUCGUGGCGGCUCGCAGCACCCCCACCCCCCGGCCCCCCGCUGGCUCCUUGGUUCCUUCUUUUUGAAGAUGACUUGAUUUUCCACCGUGGAAGCCAUUCAUUGCACACUUCAAACAUUCUCUUUUCUCCUGGACCAGUCAAAUCACCUGGACCCAUCCCAGUAUGGCUGAUUUCUCCAGCAGCAAACGUUGCCAGCUCCUUCUCACCCUUACACAGGGAAAUCGUUCACCAAGAGAAACCCAGUCCAGAAGCCAGACUGACCUCUGCAUCCUGACUCCGCCUCCCUCUUCAAAGGCCUCCUGAGCUCUCCAGGAGGGUUCUCAGCUCUCUGAGGAGAAAACAGCCGCUUAUGGAACACGGUUUUUAGUUUCUCUUUUUAGAAAUCGGUUUCCUUUGAACUAGGCAAAUAUCAAUGUAAUACACAAAAGUCAACUUUAAGUUCCUCUGAUAAACUACUGAGGUUUAGCGUUGCAAUGUGGCCUCACACCCUUAGGGCCUCGUCAGUGUUGCAGGGAGUGUCUGCUUGCCACUGCCACCUGGGAGACUCAGGCUCCAUCCCCAACCUGCAAAUGACAAGGGCAUUUUGUUUUCUUUCCUCCCCUCCCACACUCACGUCCGGGAAAAUCUCUCCCGUUUGGCCUACUGUGCUUUACUGGAAGAAGCCGGCCUCUGGGGCAGUGCCCGCGGCGACCCCAGGGGCAGGGACGGGUCUCAAGAGCGGGCGCUUCCACCGGCGCUCAUGGGCAUCCUCCUAACAGGGCCCCGCUCCUCCGAAGAAGGUGACUUGGUAAAGGAGGGGAACCAAAACAAAGGAAUACUGGCUUAGCUAGCUGGUUUCCUUUGGGUCAGAGUCACAAAUCCAAGAAUGAUAGAGGACCCUAUUAAUUAAAAGAUCAAAAAGAAUAAGAGAGAGGCAACGUUGCAUUGGCCGGGAAUCGAAGCCGGGCCUCCCGCGUGGCAGGCGAGAAUUCUACCACUGAAUCACCGAUGCUCGCGCUGCAGCUG
rnacentral:lncRNA from 12 species